rnacentral:rRNA from 1 species
AUACGGAGGAUCCGAGCGUUAUCCGGAUUUAUUGGGUUUAAAGGGUGCGCAGGCGGCCAUUUAAGUCAGCGGUUAAAUCGUGGGGCUCAACCCCAUUCUGCCGUUGAUACUGGGUGGCUUGAUUGCGGUCGAGGUUGGCGGAAUUCGUUGUGUAGGGGUGAAAUGCAUAGAUAUGACGAAGAACACCGAUUGCGUAGGCAGCUGACCAGAUCGCAAAUGACGCUCAUGCACGAAAGUGCGGGGAUCGAACAGGAUUAGAUACCCUGGUAGUCCGCACAGUAAACGAUGAAUACUUGUUUUCGGCGAUAUAAUGUCGGAGGCAAAGCGAAAGCGAUAAGUAUUCCACCUGGGGAGUACGCCGGCAACGGUGAAACUCAAAUGAAUUGGCGGGG